rnacentral:rRNA from 1 species
AUUGAACGCUGGCGGCAGGCCUAACACAUGCAAGUCGAACGAGUGGCGGACGGGUGAGUACUGUCUGGGAAACUGCCCGAUGGAGAGGGAUAACUACUGGAAACGGUAGCUAAUACCGCAUACCAUGGGAUGUGCCCAGAUGGGAUUAGCUAGUAGGUGGGGUAACGGCUCACCUAGGCGACGAUCCCUAGCUGGUCUGAGAGGUUGACCGGCCACACUGGAACUGAGACACGGUCCAGACUCCUACGGGAGGCAGCAGUGGGGAAUCUUGCACAAUGGGCGCAAGCCUGAUGCAGCCAUGCCGCGUGUAUGAAGAAGGCCUUCGGGUUGUAAAGUACUUUCAGCGGGGAGGCGUUACUCGCAGAAAAAGCACCGGCUAACUCCGUGCCAGCAGCCGCGGUAAUUC